GGGUCCAUAGCUUAGUGGUAGAGCAUUUGACUGCAGAUCAAGAGGUCUCUGGUUCGAAGCCGGGAUGGGCCCU